rnacentral:rRNA from 1 species
GACGAACGCUGGCGGCGUGCUUAACACAUGCAAGUCGAACGGAAAGGCCCUGCUUGCAGGGUGCUCGAGUGGCGAACGGGUGAGUAACACGUGGGUGAUCUGCCCCUUACGUUGGGAUAAGCCUGGGAAACUGGGUCUAAUACUGGAUAGGACCAUGCUGUAGGUGGUGUGGUGGAAAGAUUUUUUCGGUAAGGGAUGAGCUCGCGGCCUAUCAGCUUGUUGGUGGGGUAAUGGCCUACCAAGGCGUCGACGGGUAGCCGGCCUGAGAGGGUGGACGGCCACAUUGGGACUGAGAUACGGCCAAGACUCCUACGGGAGGAAGCAGUGGGGAAUAUUGCACAAUGGGAGCAAGCCUGAUGCAGCGAAGCAGCGUGGGGGAUGACGGACUUCGGGUUGUAAACUCCUUUCAGCCAUGACGAAGCCUCUUUUGGGGUGACGGUAGUGGUAGAAGAAGCACCGGCUAACUACGUG